AAAAGAAUUUCUCAUUGUAUGCGGUGGGGAAGGGCAACGAGAGGAAAGCGCUGGGAAAUGAUUGAGUGACAUUUCUAUUUGCCAGUUUGACUUCUCCACCAGUGGAGGCCGUGGUUUGGGGCUGCCAGAGAACUUCAGCUUCCUGGUGUGGACUAGAAAUGCCAGACCCCUGGAAACAAAUAAAUGGGAAGAAGAAAAUGCGAGGAGCAAGAAAUGGAUUUGAAGAGUCAGUGUGACCUCAAGUUUAUAUUGCUGGUAACAGAGAAGUGUAAGAGUACCUUGUGCUCCCAUGAUUUGCGUUGGUCCUGGUGAAUUUCCCAGCGUCAGCCUUGGGUGGAGAGCUGCCAG
rnacentral:lncRNA from 1 species